rnacentral:rRNA from 1 species
AGGGUUCGAUUAUGGCUCAGGAUGAACGCUAGCGGCAGGCCUAACACAUGCAAGUCGAGGGGUAACAGGGAGAAGCUUGCUUUUCCGCUGACGACCGGCGCACGGGUGCGUAACGCGUAUACAAUCUGCCUUAUACUGGGGUAUAGCCUUUAGAAAUGAAGAUUAAUCCCCCAUAGUCUCUUAGAGUGGCAUCAUUUUAGGAGUAAAGGUUACGGUAUAAGAUGAGUAUGCGUUCUAUUAGUUUGUUGGUGAGGUAACGGCUCACCAAGGCUACGAUAGAUAGGGGCCCUGAGAGGGGGAUCCCCCACACUGGUACUGAGACACGGACCAGACUCCUACGGGAGGCAGCAGUGAGGAAUAUUGGACAAUGGAGGCAACUCUGAUCCAGCCAUGCCGCGUGCAGGAAGACUGCCCUAUGGGUUGUAAACUGCUUUUAUAUAGGAAGAAACCUACUUACGUGUAAGUAGCUGACGGUACUAUAAGAAUAAGGAUCGGCUAACUCCGUGCCAGCAGCCGCGGUAAUAC